rnacentral:lncRNA from 1 species
CGAGUGACCCUGAUCUGUCAGAUAGCGCUGAGAUACCACGAGAUAGCGGAUAGGCGCAAAGAUGGAAAAUAAAUGCAAUCUUUCCUUAAUUUGGAUAAUUUUGACACAUUUUUGAUAAUUUGGCCAUAACUUUGACUAUGGUUAUCAGAAUCGCUAUUAUGACCCCAAUUUAAAAAGCUCUUUUUAACGCGCACGUCGUGGUCACCCAGCUAUACUCUGUGGGCGUCAAUUUUGAGCCCAAAAUCUACUGUUUUCCUUUUUGAAAUUCAAUUUUUAGUUAUUUUUUACUAUUUAUAGUAAUAUUUCG